rnacentral:rRNA from 1 species
CCCUUAGAUGUUCUGGGCCGCACGCGCACUACAAUGGCGUGUGCAGCGAGUGCCGAAGUAGAGUUUUCCGAGGUAUUCUUGCAAUGCUCGUUUUGAUGGGGAUAGACCCUUGCAACUGUUGGUUUUGAACGAGGAAUUCCUUGUAAGCAUGGUUUAUCAUCCGACGCUGAAUGCGUCCCUGCCCUUUGUACACACCGCCCGUCGCUCCUACCGAUGAGUCGUCCGGUGAAGUUCGUAGACCUCGUGAUCGCGGAUCACUGGGGGAAGCAAAAUGAACCUCGCGGUUUAGAGGAAGGAGAAGUCGUAACA